GCUGGGCAUGGUGGCGCAUGCCUGUAUUCCCAGCUACUCAAGAGGCUGAGGCAGGAGAAUUGCUUGAACCAGGGAGGUGGAGGUUGCAGUGAGCCGAGAUUGCGCCACUGCACUCCAGCCUUGGUGACACAGCAAGACUCUGUCUCAA
rnacentral:SRP_RNA from 1 species